rnacentral:rRNA from 1 species
AGUGAACGCUGGCGGCGUGCCUAAUACAUGCAAGUCGAACGGAGUGGCGCACGGGUGAGUAAUAUAUAGCUAAUAUGCGCCUUGCUGGAGGGCAACAGUAAGAAAUGACUGCUAAUACUCCAUAGAAAGGGAUGAUACUAUAUCGUAUCAGCUAGUCGGUGGGGUAACGGCCUACAGAGGCUAUGACGCGUAACUGGUCUGAGAGGAUGAUCAGUCACUUUUGAACUGAUACACGGUUCAAACUCCUACGGGAGUCAGCAGUAGGGAAUAUUGCUCAAUGGGGGAAACCCUGACGUAGCAAAGCCGCGUGGAUUAUGACACUUUACGGAGCGUAAACUCCUUUUGUUAGGGAAGCGGUACCUAACGAAGAAGCACCGGCUAACUCCGGGCCAGCAGCCGCGGUAAUAC